AGGCUGCUAGUUAGAUUCUUGAUUUAUCUGGCCAAGCCCUGUAAGCCGUUGGGCUACAUUCUGACUGUCGUCGUGGAUGAAUUUUAUCUACUCCCCCAUGUCAAGGUUGUUAGUCGUAGGUGUCAGAUGCAGGCUUUGCCUGUGUGAGUGGUGCCUGGGUCCAUAGUUGGUGUGACCUCAUCACAUCAUCUUGGGUGCACCCGUAUGGAGUAUUGAUCUCAGAUGGCGGAUCUUUCUGCAAUAUAUACCCUCUACUCCUAAGUUUGAAGUGGCUUUUGGGGUUUCGAAAAAAGAUAGUAAAUGCCUUGGUAGCUAAAUUGCCGACGCAUCUCUCUCUUGACUACAUCUAAAUAAUUCUCUUCAAGAAAGAUUCCUAAAAAUUUAGGGAUGUGCCAUUUCAUGACUCGCACUAUUUUUGUUAGGAGUGGAACUUGAGGAGUCGCAGAACGGUGCUAUGGAGAGAGACGAUCCGGAGAUUGCUCCUGGACUCACCUAGGACUUGCCAUGUGGUACAUUGCGAUGAGUUCCGAAGCAUGCUUCAUGAGUUGUUUUAUGUGAUCAACCAGAUAGGGUUGCGAUGAACAACUGCGUGCUUCACCAUUUCAAUGCUGGCCAAGUGGUGUGAUCUAGUGCUUCAAAGAUUGGAUCCAUGUCGGCAGCAGCCUAUAUAAGUGGGCUGCUCAUCUAG
rnacentral:lncRNA from 1 species